AUUGAACGCUGGCGGCAGGCCUAACACAUGCAAGUCGAACGAGUGGCGGACGGGUGAGUAAUGUCUGGGAAACUGCCUGAUGGAGGGGGAUAACUACUGGAAACGGUAGCUAAUACCGCAUACAAUCAGAUGUGCCCAGAUGGGAUUAGCGAGGUGGUGGGGUAACGGCUCACCACGGCGACGAUCCCUCGAUGGUCUGAGAGGAUGACCAGCCACACUGGAACUGAGACACGGUCCAGACUCCUACGGGAGGCAGCAGUGGGGAAUAUUGCGCAAUGGGCGCAAGCCUGAUGCAGCCAUGCCGCGUGUAUGAAGAAGGCUUUCGGGUUGUAAAGUACUUUCAGCGGGGAGGCGUUACCAGCAGAAGAAGCACCGGCUAACUCCGUGCCAGCCGCCGCGGUAAUUC
rnacentral:rRNA from 1 species